CCCCCCCCCGUAAAGGGUUUUCGUUGAUUUUUCGUCGUCCCUUAAAUUCCCGUUUGUCUUAAUAUUAUUACUACUGUGGUGCCGUUGUUGUUGUUGUUGUUGUUGUCGUCACUGCACUUGUAUUUGGUUCCUACGAAAUGUUCGAGUCAAGUCCGCGAGACGUGUGCAGUGUACCUUUGGGGGGUUCUUUGAAAACCGGUUCGUACCAAACGAUUCGUGUGUGUGUAACUUUUUGUAUUGUGUUUUCUUUUUUAUUUCUCGUUCGUGAUUUAUGUGACGGACGAAGAAGAAAAAAAGUAAUAAUAAAAUUACCCCGAAAAAAAGAGAACCCGACGUCAUGUACCGGUUGAUAAUAAUUUUUUUCAAAAAUAUUUUACGAUCACCCUGAAAAUUAUGUAAUAUCGGUACGACAUCCGAAUAAAUCAACCCGGCCGGCCGUCUCAAUAAUACAUUUUUUAACUCGGUCCGCACCCGCCCACGUUAAACAAUCGUAAUGACAAUAACAAUAACGACGGCAGCAGUUAGUCGUAACGGAAACAUUAGAACACUCAAAGGAAAAAAUAAUUAUUUAUAUACAAUAUUAUACUUGCAUAAUUAUCGUUGGCACAGACAUUGUGUCAGGGUAAAAAAUUACACUAUGAUAGAUUUGAUGAUCAACUUUUUAAUGGAAAUAUUUUCCGCUAAGUAUAUAUAUAUAUAUAUAUUUAUAAAAUUUUUUUUUUAUUUUGUAACGAAUUUAUAAAAUAAGUCACUAGGUGUUGUUUUUCUCAUUUUAAUUAUAAAUAAUUUCUAUUUUAUUUGAAAAACAUUUUUUUUUUUUGUUAUUUUUAAUGAUUUAUAUUAGUUUUACUGUGUCCUCGAGGAUUUCUGACAAAAUUCCACUAUGUUGUUGUUAUUCCUGUAUGUAUAUAUAUAUAUUAUAUAACGACGAUUAAUAAUAAUAAUUAAAAAAAAACACUCAAUUAGCCCUAAAUAAAUUUUUAAACGAAAUUAUUAUUAUUAUUAUUUGUUAUAUAACGAAAGAAGGAAAUAUGGGAAAAAAUAAUCUAUGCAUAUACAUAUAAAUACAUUGUAUACAUUUAGUUGAUAAAAAAUUGAAAUAAUUGUACAAUUUGUUGUAAAUACGAACCUAGAUGUGUAAAUAAAACUGUGUAGUUAGACGAAUACUAUAAUUCACAUUAUAUAUAUAAAUAUAUAGAUAAAAAUUUAAUGAUAAUAAAAGGUACACUUUUGAAACGUGUAAUUUUUGUUUGUUCGUAUACAUAUUAUGUUUUUAUUAAAAAAAAAAAUCAAUUGAGGAAUUAAGUCAAAAAAAAAAAAAUAAUCAUAAUAAUAAUACCUGUUGAUGUUUUUUUCUAUAUUUAUUAUUUAAAUUUAUAUGUGUUGUAUAAAAAUAUUUGGGGUAAAAACGAUUUGAAAUAAAAAUUUAAAAACAAAAACCAACCAAGAAUUUUUCAAUCAAUACACAUCUUUCUAUCUUAUCCUUAAUUGCAAACUAAAGCAAUAGCAAUGUACGAUCAAAGUAUAAUUUCACAGAGAGCUUAUCGUCCAGGUUUAUGAGUCGUCGAGAGUUAUUUUCCAGUAAUAACAUUUGGAAAUUGUUCUGUUAUUACAAUUUUUUUUUUUAUAAAUAAUACUUUUUCUAGACGAGUACAACAGCUAAACUAUGACGGACGACUGAUAUUGUUCGAUCGAUUUUAAAACGAGUGUAUAGCGUAAAAACUACGUUAAAAUAUGACAUAAAAAUGCCGUCGACACUUUGUUGGCGUGUCGUUGUGACAAUGGCAUUUGGACAAACUUACAGGAUAAUUUUUCGUCGGUCGGCCGAUUGAAAAGUUGAUCGACACGUUCCCCAAAACGAAUUUCGGUGAUGAAUUGAAUGUGUGAAUAUUGGAGAGACUGGUCGAUUGUCUAGCGAUCAAAACGAUUAACAUCUCCCGAAACCCUUUUCGACGUGCCCCAUUCCCAUUAACAUGUCACAGACCUCGAGGCUUCUGUUGAUCAUUGUGAGCGACUGAUACGAGUUCUGUCCGGCAAUCGAUAGAUUUCCGACCUGUUAACGCAGCACACAAUACACGAAACACUAUUGUAAUGCCCUUUUUUUUUUUUGUCUGGAUUAUGGACUCUCGGUUUCGGGUGGCCACUAUUUCAAAAACACCAUAUUUUGAUACCUUACAUUUAGUUAGGGCGGAAAUCUUAGGUCUCCGUAAUUCCAUUGACAGACAGGUCGUACAAAGCGCCGUCCGUCAUUCCGUGUAAAGUGUUCUCUUGUAACGGAGGUCAUCGUCGUCAUGAGCAUCGAUCAAUGGCGUUCUACACAGUUAUCAUCUCCACGACACCAUCGCCAUUAAUGUAAACAUGGUUGACAGUUGUCUGCUGCGUUGUGACGAGCAAUAACUAUCGGUUUUGGUGAUCCCAAAACGGUUAUUUUUAAGUGUGGAUAAGUAGAACUAGUUAUUUUGAAAUGACCUAUUUGUUAACAUUAAACGGACAUUAGUCUGUAAUGGUUCAAGUUAAUGAGUCGAGUCCCAUACGACAGUAAUUGUAUUUUAACCCUAUUGACGACUGCCGCCGGUAUUGCACUUGGAAAAUAAUUACUAGAGUUUGUAAAGCGCAGGUACAGAAAACCGGUAGUAGUAGUUGCCAUUACAGAAAACAACACAAUUACCAAUAUUGUUAUUGUCGUAACAACGGUCGGAUUUCAUCGGAAAAGGUCGUGUCAUCGAGACCAUUACGCCACAAUGCACAGGGUGACCAGACAGUAAAAAGCGGCGGGGUGCUGCCAGCGUGUGUUGUAUCGAUCAAUUGGUUUCGAUCGCGCGUUCCCGUUGUAAAGCAAUGGCGUAUUUGUUUUCCUAAGGGAAUCGCGGCACAGACACCCAAAACAGGAAUAUCGUCAAAUCGGUAGGAACGAGUCGACCGUAUCAGAGCAGCUGACGGUGGACAACUCGUGUUUGCUUUGCCACCACAAAAUACCGUCGAUAGAGAGAGAGAGAGAGAGACAUGUGUGUGUGUGUGUGUGUGUGUGUGUGUGUUUUUAUACGGGUUUUUAAUGGGCUAAUAAUACGGCCAGCGGUGCCGGUCACUCUGUCGGCCGGAAAGGAGGUGUAUAAAUCGUUAAAUUAAAAUUUAUAGCGCCGUGUCUUGAUGCGCGUCCGACAAUUGGCCCCCGAGAACGGUAGUUGUAAAUGUUACGUGCGGUUUUUCGCUUCCCCGAAACGGUCGCACAGCAGUGUCUACGCUGAGAACAGUGCGACGAUCGCUAUCUCUCUAGGCACCUGCCGCGUGUACACGUCAAAAAUUGUUGCCGCGCCGCAUGCGAACCCUCAAAACGCGCGAUAAUAACCGACACAUGUGCCCGUUUAAUUUAUCGUUUUACCGGAGAAAAAAAUAUAAUUAAAAAUCAACACCGAGAAACGCGAGCGCUGGAAAUGUGCAACGUUAUAUUUUUUUGAUCCCAAACCCGCCGCGCAAAUAACAGUAAUUAUUCGCGGCGUUUUUCUUUUCGACCUGAUCGUUUCUGGACACGCGUUCUCCCCCUCCCCCUCGCCAAGGACGUGCGAAUAGGACUUCUGAGGUAGGUGUACGUUUUUUAUUGUUGCUAACCGACCCGCGAGGUAAUGGCGAAUUGCGGGCAGAGUUCGCGUGCUGCCGUUCCGGUAAAUCGGCCGACUGGGACGGUCGGGGCGAAAGACUUGUUUUCGGUACGAGGGAGACUUAAAAAACGGCGGACGCGUACGGUUCACCCGGUAGGUCAUAAUCGCAACAGUAGUAACCACAGUAAUGACAUCGUGGCUCAUUGUUUUAAUGUAUUCCGCGACAAAUACUCGCACGCAUUACGUACACGGUGUUGUUCGUUUUUGUUCAUCGCCGCGGUGUACGGGUCGCCUGGUGUGAAGGUCACGGGAAUAAAUCGACCGACGGCGGUGGCGCAGGAACUCAAUAAUUAUUAUGCGUUACUAUUGCACAGCCAGAGGAGGAAACGCAUUACAGCCCAAAUAUUUUUAUAAUUAUGCGCAAACAAUGUAUAUUGUCUUGGCCGAUUACCAUAUUGACCUAAUUUUAUGUAUUAUUUCUUUUUCUAUCGCUAUUCAAUAUUUCAAUGUAAUGUUCUCUCUGACGCGUAAACGGACUCGACAAAUUUUUAAACACGGUAAUUAUUCGUUUUUUACCAUUGCGGCGUUAUCGCGGUGCCUGUGCACAUACACACACACACACACACACACACUGCUCAUAAUAGUACACGUACGCAAGCCACCAAUCGCAAUUAUACGUGUUAUUCUACAAACGGGACGACAUGGCCGUCAAACAAUGGCAAACGUCCAUUGUUUAAUAUCGUAAUUAACAAGUGCGCUGAAAUGGCACCGACCGGCGUAGGCAGCGGACGAGCGCGCGCGGGGGUGAAAAACUGAAGCGCACAAUACUCACCGAAAUCGUCGGAAUAAACGACACGGACUUUCCGGACACGUUGUCCGAUUGUAGGACCUGGAAAAUGUCGUGCCCCACCAGACCACAGUAGUUACCAGCGUACACGGACAUGAUCUGUUCGUGUCAGACGGUUUGGAGAUGGCACACGUCCAUUGUGUUUAAAAUCAUAAUUAACAAGUGUGCUGAAAUUAUGUAAUAUAUAUGAGCACUCGAUUUACAUGUGUUAUAUUGUGGCACCGCUGCGCGCGGUCGACCGACUGUCGGUUUGGUUUAUUUUGUGCGCAAAAACUGUCACAGACGUUUUCAUUUAGAGCGCAGUACAAAAACCGGAACGAAAAUUAACAAUACACCACCGCCGGGUGUACAUCAUUAGGAGGGUGUGAUGACAUUGGUGUUGUGCAAUCGCCCCCUAAUAGAAUCGUUUCAGGUAACAAUAACACGGCCACGAUAAUAUAUAGCGGCUCCGCUGUUUGUGUCAGAGUUUAAAGAGGGAGGAGAGGAAACGAAGGAGAUGAAAAACGAGAUCCAUACGUAUUCAAAUGCACUCAGAGGGGCAAAAAGAUACACAUCCCGGACUUGGCCGUUAAUUUUCAUAAUCUUUGUUAUUCCUAUUGAUCCGAUAUUUGUUCUGGAUGACGAAGAAAAAGAAGAAGACACAGGCGUCUAUUGUGUCCUUGUCGUUUGCAGAAUCCGUUUCCUUUGCGGAGUGUCCGUUGUAACUGUCGGGCUCGAAGACACAUUUUAAUAUGCGAAUUUGGCGCGAUCCGCAAGGGCCACGCGGUUCUCUUGCGGUACCCUCGACCGACUAGUUUCGAAACUUCGUUAAUUAGAAUACGAACGCAUUAUUCAUAACCGUACAUCUUCAACCUGUAUAUCUCUCCCCACAUUAUUAAAACGGAGUAUCGUGUAAAUAAUCGCCGGUGUUAUCUUUUAAAAAAUGUAAAUUUGUUUCUCUGCAAAACAAGUGUGUAUAUGUUUAUUAACGUAAACAGCUAGUGUAUGUAAAUUGAAUUCGCCAGACGCCACUAUCCCUAGCACUAAAAUGUCAUUAAUUUACUGCCAUAGGAGUACUGUAAAUUAACCGGGUGCGCUCGUACAAACCUAAACGCAUUUCAUUUAUAUAAUUAUACAAAUCGGUGACUUUCACAGGCUGACAAGUGCGUGUGUCUUUGAAUAAAAUAUGCAAUAAGGACUUUCAACAGGUAUCGUGAGACGAGUUAUCUGUUAGAUGCAUUAAAUAAACGAUCAAAACGUCUAGCGAUCAAAGUGGAUUAAGCAAUUUGAACAUAAUCAAUCAAGCUCUAAAAUGUAUUUUUUUAGUUACUUAUGUUAUAGUUAAAAAUGUAUUUUGUGUAAUAUUUUAUUAUUUUUAGGCCUUCAAAUAUACCACCAAUCUAAAUUAAACCACUUA